CCCUUAGAUGUCCGGGGCUGCACGCGCGCUACACUGAAGGAAUCAGCGUGCUAAAACCAUUGUCGAAAGGCAUUGGUAAACCCAUUAAAAUCCUACGUGAUUGGGAUCGGGAAUUGCAAUUAUUUCCCUUGAACGAGGAAUUCUCAGUAAGUGUGGGUCAUAAGCUCGCGUUGAUUACGUCCCUGCCCUUUGUACACACCGCCCGUCGCUGCCCGGGACUGAGCCGUUUCGAGAAAAGCGGGGACUGCUGCUGUCGGGGCUUUCGGGCCUUGGCUUCGGUGGAAACCGCUUUAAUCGCAGUGGCUUGAACCGGGCAAAAGUCGUAACA
rnacentral:rRNA from 1 species